AGCUUCCACAGGACUCAGCAAUCUGCUGUCCUGGUGAAUGAUCUCCAUAGCGAGGAAGAGAAUGCUUUGAGAUGAAGAAUUCAUUUUCACAAAUUAUCUCAUGAAAGAGAGACCGUAGCAUAAGCAGCAGUCAUCACCAGCUUAGAGAACAAUGCACGUCAAAUAAGAUUUUAUUAUAAAGUUUUCAACAAAAGAAUCAAGGAUUUUCAUUCUCUGUGACAUGACAUCUAAUUGAAGAAAAAGAAAGGAAGACUGAAUUUGUGAUCUAGAUCUCAAGCCAAACCACUGGAAGCCAUAUUCAGCCUUCAUUGUACACCCUUGCAUUCAGUGGUGUAACUGGAGGCAGAAUCUGGCCCUAAUCUUGUUUCUGCCCAAUUUAAUACAAAGCAGCCCACCACAUUUGGGAGCUGAUGGCCUCCUGUGAGAUACUGAGCCCUUCAACUUGUAAUGAUGUCAAUACAAAUUGAGGGGGCUCAGUACCUCACAGAAUCAGGUCCAAGAUUAUUAGGCUUGAUUGGCAAAUGUACUACAUACCUGCAGUAUGACAUGAGAACUGAUAAGCAUCUGCUGAAGUGGUCGUAUCUCAACCUUUGGCCAAGCUCUGCAGCAACUUUACAUCCCACUUUAGAAGGAAAGAUGCCAUUUUGAA